rnacentral:lncRNA from 10 species
AAGUUCCUGUAUUUUUAUGUGGAGUUGCUCACUGCCCAACGUAGAGGACUAGGAAUCAGGAGUCGGUGGCCGUAUGCUGGAGGCUGGAGCCGCGGGAGCGCGGCUCGCCUCGCUGCGGUUGUUGGCAGUGACGGAGAGAGAGCAGCGCGGCUGGAGCAGUGACACAAAUCACUAUGUAAUAUAGUUAGCCUUUGAACAACACGGAUUUGAACUGCAGGGGUCUACUUAUGAGCAGAUUUUCUCCCACCUCUACCACCUGAGACAGCGAAGACCAAUCUUCCUCUUCCUCCUUCUCCUUAGCCUGCUCAACUUGAAGACUAUGAUGAAGAGUUAUAUAAUGAUCUACUUGCAUUUAAUGAACAGAAGUCUAAUGCCUACAUUUAAAGGAUAGCCCGGCCCCCAGUAAACGCGGAUUCCUGCUCGUGGCCUUCUAC